GGUGCCUACGGGCGCAGCAGUGGGGAAUAUUGCACAAUGGGCGAAAGCCUGAUGCAGCAACGCCGCGUGAAGGAAGAAGGGUUUCGGCUCGUAAACUUCUAUCAACAGGGACGAAAGAAAUGACGGUACCUGAAUAAGAAGCCCCGGCUAACUACGUGCCAGCAGCCGCGGUAAUACGUAGGGGGCAAGCGUUAUCCGGAAUUACUGGGUGUAAAGGGUGAGUAGGCGGCAUGGUAAGCCAGAUGUGAAAGGCUUGGGCUUAACCCAAGGAUUGCAUUUGGAAAUAUCAAGGUAGAGUAAAGGAG
rnacentral:rRNA from 1 species